rnacentral:rRNA from 1 species
GGACCCGCACAAGCGGUGGAGCAUGUGGUUUAAUUCGAAGCAACGCGAAGAACCUUACCAAAUCUUGACAUCCUUUGACUGCUCUAGAGAUAGAGUCUUCCCCUUCGGGGGACAAAGUGACAGGUGGUGCAUGGUUGUCGUCAGCUCGUGUCGUGAGAUGUUGGGUUAAGUCCCGCAACGAGCGCAACCCUUAAGCUUAGUUGCCAUCAUUAAGUUGGGCACUCUAAGUUGACUGCCGGUGACAAACCGGAGGAAGGUGGGGAUGACGUCAAAUCAUCAUGCCCCUUAUGAUUUGGGCUACACACGUGCUACAAUGGACAAUACAAAGGGCAGCUAAACCGCGAGGUCAAGCAAAUCCCAUAAAGUUGUUCUCAGUUCGGAUUGUAGUCUGCAACUCGACUACAUGAAGCUGGAAUCGCUAGUAAUCG